rnacentral:misc_RNA from 1 species
AAGUCGUAACAAGGUUUCCGUAGGUGAACCUGCGGAAGGAUCAUUAACGAACGAAAGGUUCAUUUUUUUGAAUCUUUUGGGAUCAACCAAAAACCUGUAACAUGUACAAGUAUUGACGUCAGUACGUAAAUACGAAAAUUUAAUAAUUAUUACAAAACUUUCAACAACGGAUCUCUUGGCUCUU